rnacentral:lncRNA from 1 species
ACAUUGCCAGCAUGCAUUGGACAAAUGUGAGGCAAGGUGCACAGGAGUUGCUGCACCUCGACUUGGGGAGAGCUGCAGGAACUAUCUUGAGUCCUCUGCUGGCCCUUGGACACAUACUAUUUAGGACUGAAACUUCUUUGAUCCUCAGCCGAUUUUGGUGCAGACCCUCCAGCUCUUGGGUCUCCUGGAUCACUCUUCCUCCAAAUCUAGGGAGUGUCCGCUCUGACAUCUUGGACUGGCCAGUUAUGUAUGAAAGGAAGCCAGAAGUUAUGGGGACACUCAAGCAGCACUAGGGAGAGGCUCAUGAGUAGAAGAACUGAGGCAUCCUGCAAACAGCCAUGGACUAACCUGUAUUGGGAGCAGAUUCUCCAGCUCCACGUCUGUUCCUUAGUCUCUGUUGAGGUGAAACUCCAAUAUCUGAACCCACCAGCCAAAUAAGCAACCUGUGUACAAGCCAAGUUAAAAUUUCACUCCCGUAAUGGAUGAGGAGAAACCAGAAGACAUUUCUCAUGCACAGGGAGUGCAUGAAUCCCCUGAAUUGCCAGGUUUCAGGGUCACAUGAGACCUCUAGAAGGCUCUGCUCAUCAUCACCUUAUCAUCUGCUGAUAUACCUAUUCUAACGAAGGAGGGAGAGGAGUAAUGCACAAGAAACUCAGGCCAAUGGGGGAGCAAGAAGAAAACGAAGAAGUGCAGUGCAUGCGUCAUCGGUGUUUAACAGUCAGAAGCGAAACAGUUCAGAACAAGGCCUGCCCUGUCAAAAGAAGAGCUAAAGACAGUUAUAUAAAAAUUAAGGUGGGCUUUCAGACUGGCUAACACAACAACAUUCCAUGAGUAGAUGGUAAUUUAUUUUUGUUUAUCCAUUUCGUUGGGAGCAAGGACAAAAA